rnacentral:lncRNA from 1 species
GCUGCCACUCAGCCCCGGAGAGUCUCUCUCAGGAUCUGCUCUUCCUGUUUGUGGCAAAACAGCAAAGUCUGCUGCAGCUCUUGGCUGUGGUGUUUGCAACUGUCUCCUUUCUUUCUAUUGAGAAAGAUAAACUCACAAUUUCUUACAGCACUAUCUGUUUAACACACUCUCCUCUUGCUCCACAGCCUUUACCAGUCACAGCUUUCUGUAAGCACCCCCCAGUUCCUCACAGUAUCUCUCCUGGCCACCUGCAGCUGGCAGAGGCAGCUUCAACUAUGAUCAGUGCAUAA